UACGUAGGGUGCAAGCGUUGUCCGGAAUUAUUGGGCGUAAAGAGCUCGUAGGCGGUUUGUCGCGUCGGCUGUGAAAACUCGGGGCUCAACCCCGAGCCUGCAGUCGAUACGGGCAAACUUGAGUGCGGUAGGGGAGACUGGAAUUCCUGGUGUAGCGGUGGAAUGCGCAGAUAUCAGGAGGAACACCGGUGGCGAAGGCGGGUCUCUGGGCAGUAACUGACGCUGAGGAGCGAAAGCGUGGGGAGCGAACAGG
rnacentral:rRNA from 1 species